CGGCUCGGUCCGACCUUCAAGAGCCCCCCAGCUCCAGGACUGAAGCUCUGCCCGGCCCAGAAGUCUGUGUUUGCUUACGAUGACCUGCUAGGACACGAGGAUAAACAGGAACAAACUGAGAGGGGAAGAGAAUUCCGGAAGAGAGCUGCUCUGUGUUCUCUGUCUCGCUUCCUCAAGGCAGAGACCCAAAGGCAGUCAGUGAUGUUUCAGCUGACAGCCCAACGUCGUCUGGAUUCCCAUCAGGCACGCCGGAAUGGCCCAGGUACUACUUAGGCGGUAAGGAGAGUAAGAACAAUGGAGGUGGAUGAUUCGGUAAACAUGCACUGCAGCAGGAUGGCCCCAAGUGAGAAGACAAGUUGAUUCAAAAUGCUACAGGGGCCAGAGCGAGACAGUGAGAAUGAUCAAAGUGUUUCACCAGGACAAACAUUCUUUCCAAAGGCCGUCUGGAUGACUGGAGGGGGAAAAACAGAGGAAGACCAGGAGACUGGUUUCUCCAGUGGAGCUGGGGCUGCCCUAGCGAGCGGAAGACACCAUCUUGGGCCGCAGGCCUUGAACAAAUUCCCAACUCUCUUCUUCUUGUUAGUGCUGGACUGAGGACGCAAAGUUGUUUUCCCCUGGAUGGGAGAACAGUUCAACAGGAAGCCAAUUCUGAGAGGUAACUGGGACCCCAGCCCUUUGGAAGGCCACCUCGCCGGGGUUCAUCCCGGUCGGUAGACGAGCCUGCAAGGAUGAAGCCGGCAGUGACCUUGGCUCAGACUUUGAACUGAAAGUGCUCGGGCUGGAACAGGAAAUGACCAGAAACUCAGAGCAUCUCUAUUCUUCAGCCAUCACAACAGAAGACUUGAUUCUGAUGACAGACCUGGAUUUUUGGCCACACACUGUCCAAAGACAUGGCUCAUCUCAGAUGUCUCAACAAGACACAGCAUCCCGUGGAAUUGAUUUCAUUUCAAGAUAAAUGAAAGGGAAGUGCCAGUGAGAGAGGGGAAACCAAUUAAAGAUCAUUCACUUCGAAAGGCUGCAAGUGCAGGCACGGAGAGGCUGGAAAAAGGUCCGCUACCGGGCAGUCACGGUGUCCAAGUACCACAUUGGGAAAAUAGACGCCCAAGAAGCAUUUGUCAAGAGCAGCGGAUACAGUGAGACUCCUCGUAACUGGUGUCAACAUGAUGGCGAUAAAUCAAACCAGGCGGAAGCCCGCGCUGGGCCUCAAGAUAUUUCUGGUCUAUCUUCUUGAAGCAAAUCAGUUCUCCGCCCCCAGCCCUUAUCAGGGGUCACAGGAGGAGCUCCCCUGGCCGAGAAGACCACUCUCUGGCAGGCAAUUUCCUGCAGGGCAAUCUUCCUUCGGCAGUCCGGGUUGUCCGCCUCCUCCCGUCCCUCACCUACAUUCCCUUCCCUCCCGUGCUCCUGAGCUAGGUCUGCAAAUCAACACAAUGGACCUCUCCGGCUAAGGUACGGCGGUGUGGACGCUUCUUCGUGUUUGUACAUGUCACCUAGCUGACAGGAUCGGGAAACCCAGCCGACAGAACAAAGGAUGAAAUAAUCCCGAUUAACACUUUACGGGCGGUGCUGUGCGGAACGCCUUCAUUUUCUCCUCCACUGAGGCAGAUAUUUUAAUCAGGUUUUAAUGAGAAAAACCCAGGGUGAAAGACUGCAGAAAACCCCAUCGGGGAAUGUGCAUUCCACCUCCUACCCUCGUGACGCCCCCAACCUCCGAGCCCUCUUUCCCUCCCUCCCUCCUCCCCUGGCUCCCUCCCUCUCUCCCUCCCGGAGAUAUUCCCUUGGGCAUCAGAUGAAAACAAUUUUCCACCACAACCACCCGGAAACUUCGGAUUAUUAAAUCUGGAUCCGAAUGCCAAAAGCCCUGGCCAGGAUGCACGAGGGAAUGUUUGCCAUUCAUUUCUAAAAAGGUAAAAGGAGGAGGCUGCUUCCUGCGCUUUCACAUAAAGGCAACUUGGCCGCGCCGGCUGUGGAAACCUUUGUUCUCCAACCGGGACCCUGUGACCCUAUCUUCAAACCGGGGGUCUCCCCUCCACCUCGCUUUGUUUUCAUUAAGAUUUUUUUUCCAGGGCGGUUGGGGGCGCGGGGAGGAAAUCUGGAAACCACCGCAGACAUCACAAUGAGCGGUACAGAAAUACUCCUUUCCUUUUCAAUGUUUUACCUCAGUAUUAAAGGAAGACCCCUUUCCCAGAA